UAUACGACCGUACCGCAAACCGACACUGGUGCGCGAGAUGAGUAUUCUAAGGCGCUUGAGAGAACUCAGGAGAAGGAACUCGGCAAAUUGACACCGUAACUUCGGAAGAAGGUGUGCCCUAUUAGUGUGUAGUGAACAACGAAGCAUGAAUGGGUUGCAAAAAAUCGGUGGCUGCGACUGUUUAUUAAAAACACAGCACUCUGCAAACACGAAAGUGGACGUAUAGGGUGUGACGCCUGCCCGGUGCUGGAAGAUUAAAUGAUGGGGUGCAAGCUCUUGAUUGAAGUCCCAGUAAACGGCGGCCGUAACAAUAACGGUCCUUAGCGAAAUUCCUUGUCGGGUAAGUUCCGACCUGCACGAAUGGCGUAACGAUGGCCACACUGUCUCCUCCUGAGACUCAGCGAAGUUGAAAUGUUUGUGAUGAUGCAAUCUCCCCGCGGAAAGACGGAAAGACCCCAUGAACCUUUACUGUAGCUUUGUAUUGGACUUUGAACAGAUCUGUGUAGGAUAGGUGGGAGGCUUUGAAGCAGGGUCGCUAGAUCUUGUGGAGCCAACGUUGAAAUACCACCCUGGUGUGUUUGAGGUUCUAACCUAGGUCCAUUAUCUGGAUCGGGGACAGUGCAUGGUAGGCAGUUUGACUGGGGCGGUCUCCUCCCAAAGCGUAACGGAGGAGUUCGAAGGUACGCUAGUUACGGUCGGACAUCGUGACGAUAGUGCAAUGGCAUAAGCGUGCUUAACUGCGAGACUGACAAGUCGAGCAGAUGCGAAAGCAGGACAUAGUGAUCCGGUGGUUCUGUAUGGAAGGGCCAUCGCUCAACGGAUAAAAGGUACUCUGGGAUAACAGGCUGAUACCGCCCAAGAGUUCAUAUCGACGGCGGUGUUUGGCACCUCGAUGUCGGCUCAUCUCAUCCUGGGGCUGUAGCCGGUCCCAAGGGUAUGGCUGUUCGCCAUUUAAAGAGGUACGUGAGCUGGGUUUAAAACGUCGUGAGACAGUUUGGUCCCUAUCUUCCGUGGGCGCUGCAGAUUUGAGGAAGCCUGCUCCUAGUACGAGAGGACCGGAGUGGACACACCUCUGGUGUAUCGGUUGUCACGCCAGUGGCAUUGCCGAGUAGCUAAGUGUGGAAGAGAUAACCGCUGAAAGCAUCUAAGCGGGAAACUCGUUUCAAGAUGAGAUCUGCCGGGGCCUUGAGCCCCCUAAAGAGUCGUUCAAGACCAGGACGUUGAUAGGUCAGGUGUGG
rnacentral:rRNA from 1 species